rnacentral:rRNA from 1 species
AGUGAACGCUGGCGGUAGGCCUAACACAUGCAAGUCGAACGGCAGCACAGGAGAGCUUGCUCUCUAGGUGGCGAGUGGCGGACGGGUGAGGAAUACAUCGGAAUCUGCCCAGUCGUGGGGGAUAACGUAGGGAAACCUACGCUAAUACCGCAUACGACCUUCGGGUGAAAGAGGGGGAUCGCAAGACCUCUCGCGAUUGGAUGAGCCGAUGUCGGAUUAGCUAGUUAGCGGGGUAAUGGCCCACCAAGGCGACGAUCCGUAGCUGGUCUGAGAGGAGGAUCAGGCACAGUGGAAUGAAGGGCCGGUCCGGGCCCUAAGGGGGGCCAGCAGGGGGGAAUAUUGGACAAGGGGGGAAAGCUUGAACAAGCCAUGCGGGGUGGUGGAAGAAGGCCUCCGGGUGGAAAAGCCCUUUUGUGGGGAAAAAAACUUUCAGGGCUAAUACCCUGGGGGGUGACGGUACCCCAAAAAAAAACACCCGGUAACCUUGUG